GCCAGUUACUUUCAUACUCAGGGACACCGUCCCCCCCUCCGCCCCCCGCCCUCCCCUCGCUUCAAAGUUCUGUAUUGCAGAAUGAAAUCGGCGCCUUUCCCCAGCGGUUUUUCCAAAUACGAGCAAAGGAGGCACAAAACGCAGGUUCCAGAAACUGUGCCUGCAACCAUUCGUCCUUAUUUCCCGACACACGGGCCCCUGCUCCCCGCUAAGGCUGGGGUCCUGGACACGAGUUUUGCGCUCUGAUAGAAGGGCUUAGAUUCCAGAUUGACACUGGGCUCUCUAAAGCCUGCUCCUCAAUCUACUGAUCCGGUCCAGCUUAAGAUCCAGUAGAAAGAAAACAUAGCCUGCCCGGACCGUAACCUUUUUGUUUCAGACCCUGCAUUUGUAAAAUAGCCUAAUAAAAUCUCUCCCUGGCUUACAGAGCAAGACAGCGUCCUGGUCCAAGAACCGGAUGAGUCAAAAGGCGUUACUGUUGAGUCAGACAUAGAAUACAUGAAUACCUAGAAAUUCGUAAAUGAUUCUCCAAAGGCUGUUGAAAUAGCGUUUUCAGGCCGGGCGCGGUGGCUCACACCUGUAAUCCCAGCACUUUGGGAGGCCGAGGCGGGCGGAUCACCUGAGGUCAGGAGAUGGAGACCAUCCUGGCUAACACGGUGAAACCUCGUCUCUACUGAAAAUACAAAAAAUUAGCCGGGCGUGGUGGCGGGGGCCUGUAGUCCCAGCUACUCGGGAGGCUGAGGCAGGAAAAUCGCUUGAACCCGGGAGGCGGAGCUUGCAGUGAGCCGGGAUCGCACCACUGCCCUCCAGCCUGGGCGACAGAGCAAGACUCUGUCUCAAAAAAUGAAAAAAGAAAUAGCGUUUUCAAGUUAUA
rnacentral:lncRNA from 1 species